rnacentral:rRNA from 1 species
GAUGAACGCUGGCGGUGUGCCUAAUACAUGCCAGUCGAGCGAACAGACGAGGAGCUUGCUCCUCUGACGUUAGCGGCGGACGGGUGAGUAACACGUGGAUAACCUACCUAUAAGACUGGGAUAACUUCGGGAAACCGGAGCUAAUACCGGAUAACAUGUUGAACCGCAUGGUUCAACAGUGAAAGACGGUUUUGCUGUCACUUAUAGAUGGAUCCGCGUCGCAUUAGCUAGUUGGUAAGGUAACGGCUUACCAAAGCAACGAUGCGUAGCCGACCUGAGAGGGUGAUCGGCCACACUGGAACUGAGACACGGUCCAGACUCCUACGGGAGGCAGCAGUAGGGAAUCUUCCGCAAUGGGCGAAAGCCUGACGGAGCAACGCCGCGUGAGUGAAGAAGGUCUUCGGAUCGUAAAACUCUGUUAUUAGGGAAGAACAAAUGUGUAAGUAACUAUGCACGUCUUGACGGUACCUAAUCAGAAAGCCACGGCUAACUACGUG